AAAGAAAGCGCUGACCCAGCCCCAACUCCAGAGCGGUGCCCUCGGUGCUGCCGCAGCAACUGCCCGGGCAGCGCUGCCUGCUCCCCUGGCCUUGUGCUUCGCCUUCCUUCAACUGGGUGCAUUUUUAACUUUGUGAAAGUUUGCUAUUAUUUAAAGCCCGGAGCGGGUGGGCAGCGCCGAGGAGCGGGGCUGGAGGAGCAUGGACUUGUUCAUCUCAGCCUGAUCUUGUCAGUAGCAGCAGAGCAGAGAGGGAGAGGAACUCCGGCUGGGGCAGCGCUCCAAAGGAUUUCUGCCUUACUCAGUGUGCGGGAUGUGUCGCUUCUUGUUCGUGCUUGUUUUCCGUGCAGCCCGUUGGUUGAAGUCCAGCAGUCGGACGUGUGGAAGGGUCAGUCCAAAACUAUGGUAAAAGAGGUAGUUGCCUACGAGUUCCUUUACUUGGUAUUGCAGAAACUGGAAUGUGUGUGGCUUUCGAAGUAGUAAGUUCUUCUCCUGGAUAGAUCCCUUCCAUUGGAUGCAGCAAUGGUGGGUAUCGGGAUUAAAUUCAGGAAGUCUGCUUACUGAGGAAACGAGAUGGAUUCUUCGUUCUCCUGAUGCAGUGCUCGAAGGGUUUGGGACUCCUGGGCUCUCCUGGGGCAGCCGCCAGUUUCGGCAGCCUGUUCUUGAGCCGCUGCAGUUGGGUUUGUGAGGCAGCCAGUCCCUCAGCUGGGGGAAAUUCGUGACCAGGCCUUACAGAAGCUCCCCUCCGAGUGGGGAAUCCCGUUCCCCUCCAGGAGAUGGAUUGCUUUUCUUCCUCCGCUUCUUUCCUUUCCUUCUCUUCUGCUUGUCAGGCUGCUUGACGCACAGCUUUGGCUCACUAAGGCAGCAGAAGCUGAUACGGAAGCUGGUAACUUUUUUUGCUAUCUCAGGGUGGUGUUUCUUUUUUUUCCUUUGUGUUGCACUAUAUUGAUGUGUCCAAUAGUCAAAUACCACACUGUACAAGUACAGGGUGGAAUCUCGUGCAUGGAGGAAGGGACAGGAGAGGAAUGACUUUCUUUAGCGGCAGUGAGAGCUGUUAGUCGACUUACAGGCUGUCUGUACCUUGGGAACUGUACUCUAACACAGGGAAAUAUUUGAAAUAUUUCACUAUGAUUGCAACUAAAUAUUACAUCCUUUGAGAAGUCAGGUCUAGGAAUCUCAUUAGAGCCAUUUAAAAACUUUGUUACUAUCCUUCCUGUGCCUUAAUUUCCGUAUUUUACAGAUUGGAAAAUACCCUUUCUUCCAUACGUGUUUUAUGAAAAUAAAUGAAUGUGUGAGAUUUCA
rnacentral:lncRNA from 1 species